AUGUUAAAGCCCACCACAGAGGCACUCUUCUUCUAUGGUCCUGAACUGAAUGGCAGCUGCGGCCCAUCAUCUUCACCCUCACUCAUGGCCGACGGCGACGGUGACGGCGACGGCGGCGGCGGAGAGGGCGGCGGGAGCGCCGAGUGGCAGCCCAUCUACGACCGGGUCCAGGCGCAGGCCGAGGCUCUCGCCGCCGACCGCGCGCGCCUGGAGGCGGCCAGCAAGGUCCAGCGCGAGUCGUGGGAGGCGGCGCGGAGGCUUCAGCGGAGCGUGGAGGAGCUGCAAGCGGCGGCGCGGGAGAAGGACGCCGAGAUCGAGAGAUUGCGAGCAGAAGCCGCCGACGCCAGCAAGAAGCUGCAGGAAGUGCGCCAGGCGGAUGCGGACAGGAGGAUGAGGUGGGAGGCGGCCUACGUGGAUCUGAUUCUCGGUGCCAACCAGAAGCUCGCCGAACUCAGAGAUGUCGACAUGGAGGAUUCCAGAACUUGUGCAGAAACCCCCAACUCUAAGGCAAGACUCAGUCAGAACACUGUGGAUCAGGCAUGCGUUGCAAGUGAUUUAAGCACGGAGCUAAGAAAACUAAAGCGAGCGUACGAGACUCUGAGCUCACAGAAGGACAUGGAAGUUUCUACAUUACUCUCAGAAAAGGAACGUGCACGUAACCAGUUGGUUGUAAUGCGAAAAGCCUAUGGUGUGCUUCUUAGGAACAAGAACGGGGAGGCAGCACAAACUACUGAAGCAGCUCAAAAGCUUCAGCGGGGUGUAGAUGAUCUUAAAGUGUCGGCCCAAAAGAAGGACGAUGAGAUUAGCAGAUUGCGAGCAGAAGCUGUUGCUGCCGAAAAGAAGCUACAGAUAGCUCAAAAGCUUCAGCAGAGCGUGGAUGAUCUUAAGGCGGCGGCCCAAAAGAAGGAUGAUGAGAUUGACAGAUUGCGAGCAGAAGUUGUUGCUGCUGAAAAGAAGCUACGGGAAAUGCAAUCCUUGGUCAUGGAGAAAGAUGAUGAGAUCCAAACAAUUAAUGAUGGGCAAGAUGAAGCUAAUCAGAAGCGCAGGCGUGUCUCCUCGACUUCAAAUGAUGAUGAGCAGAGUGAAAGUGUUGAGGAUGAUGAUGUGCAGAAUGGAAGUGAUUAG
rnacentral:rRNA from 1 species